rnacentral:rRNA from 1 species
GAUGAACGCUGGCGGCGUGCCUAAUACAUGCAAGUCGAGCGAACAGACGAGGAGCUUGCUCCUCUGACGUUAGCGGCGGACGGGUGAGUAACACGUGGAUAACCUACCUAUAAGACUGGGAUAACUUCGGGAAACCGGAGCUAAUACCGGAUAAUAUAUUGAACCGCAUGGUUCAAUAGUGAAAGACGGUUUUGCUGUCACUUAUAGAUGGAUCCGCGCCGCAUUAGCUAGUUGGUAAGGUAACGGCUUACCAAGGCAACGAUGCGUAGCCGACCUGAGAGGGUGAUCGGCCACACUGGAACUGAGACACGGUCCAGACUCCUACGGGAGGCAGCAGUAGGGAAUCUUCCGCAAUGGUCGAAAGCCUGACGGAGCAACGCCGCGUGAGUGAUGAAGGUCUUCGGAUCGUAAAACUCGGUUAUUAGGGAAGAACAAAUGUGUAAGUAACUAUGCACGUCUUGACGGUACCUAAUCAGAAAGCCACGGCUAACUACGUG